rnacentral:rRNA from 1 species
GAUGAACGCUGGCGGCGUGCCUAAUACAUGCAAGUCGAGCGAACAGACGAGGAGCUUGCUCCUCUGACGUUAGCGGCGGACGGGUGUGUAACACGUGUAUAACCUACCUAUAAGACUGGGAUAACUUCGGGAAACCGGAGCUAAUACCGGAUAAUAUAUUGAACCGCAUGGUUCAAUAGUGAAAGACGGUUUUGCUGUCACUUAUAGAUGGAUCCGCGCCGCAUUAGCUAGUUGGUAAGGUAACGGCUUACCAAGGCAACGAUGCGUAGCCGACCUGAGAGGGUGAUCGGCCACACUGGAACUGAGACACGGUCCAGACUCCUACGGGAGGCAGCAGUAGGGAAUCUUCCGCAAUGGGCGAAAGCCUGACGGAGCAACGCCGCGUGAGUGAUGAAGGUCUUCGGAUCGUAAAACUCUGUUAUUAGGGAAGAACAAAUGUGUAAGUAACUAUGCACGUCUUGACGGUACCUAAUCAGAAAGCCACGGCUAACUACGUG